GUGCAAUACAACCAAUGUUAUAUACCUCUUAACUUGUCCAUGUGGUUAUCAUUAUGUGGGUAAAACGAUAAGAAAACUGAAAGUCAGAAUAGGAGAACAUAUUAAUAAUAUAAAGAAAAAAUGUAUUAAUCACAGCGUUUCGAAGCACUUUUUAGACCACCAUAAUGGUAACCCAGAGGGACUUCAAUUCAUAGGCAUAGAAAAAAAUUAAAGUCCAUUGGAGAGGGGGUUGUAAAGAUAAUAUUUUAAGCAAAGCAGAAAUGAGGUGGAUGUUCAACCUCAAUACCCUGACUCCUGAUGGUUUGAAUGUGGAUUUUGAAAUUACUCCCUUUUUAUAAUAUAUUUUUUAGAUGUAUUAUAAUUAUAUUAUGUAUUUUAAUCUAUUAUUAUUUUCUCUCCCCCUUUUUCUCUCCUCAUAUAUAUAUCCCUGUAUUGUUAAUGAGCUCUAUUUUAUCUUUUUA